rnacentral:misc_RNA from 1 species
GAUGAAGAACGUAGCGAAAUGCGAUAAGUAGUGUGAAUUGCAGAAUUCAGUGAAUCAUCGAAUCUUUGAACGCACAUUGCGCCCCUUGGUAUCCCGAGGGGCAUGCCUGUUCGAGCGUCAUUUCACCACUCAAGCCUGGCUUGGUGUUGGGCGACGUCCCCUUUAGGGACGCGCCUCGAAACGCUCGGCGGCGUGGCACCGGCUUUAAGCGUAGCAGAAUCUUUCGCUUUGGAAGUCGGGGCCCCGCCUGCCGGAAUACCUACUCGUAAGGUUGACCUCGGAUCAGGCAGGGAUACCCGCUGAACUUAAGCAUAUCAAAGCGGAGGA